UACGGAGGAUCCGAGCGUUAUCCGGAUUUACUGGGUUUAAAGGGUGCGUAGGCGGGCUAUUAAGUCAGUGGUGAAAUCCUGCAGCUUAACUGCAGAACUGCCGUUGAUACUGAUAGUCUUGAGUUUGGUUAAGGUAGGCGGAAUGUGUAAUGUAGCGGUGAAAUGCUUAGAUAUUACACAGAACACCAAUUGCGUAGGCAGCUUACUGAGCCGACACUGACGCUGAGGCACGAAAGCGUGGGGAUCAAACAGG
rnacentral:rRNA from 1 species